rnacentral:rRNA from 1 species
UGUAGUCAUAUGCUUGUCUCAAAGACUAAGCCAUGCAUGUCUAAGUAUAAACAACUUUAUACUGUAAAACUGCGAACGGCUCAUUACAUCAGCAAUAAUUUAUUUGAUGAUUUCUUACUACAUGGAUAACUGUAGUAAUUCUAGAGCUAAUACAUGCGCAAAGUCCUGACUCGCGAGGGGAGGGAUGUAUUUAUUAGAUACAAAACCAAUGCGGGUUCUGCUCGCCAUUGUGUUGAAUCAUAGUAACUUAUCGGACGCCAUAGCCUUGUGCUGGGCGUAGAUCAUUCAAAUUUCUGCCCUAUCAGCUUUCGACGGUAGUGUAGUGGACUACCGUGGCGUUAACGGGUAACGGGGA